AUGUGUAACCAAAGGGAAAUAAUCAGUUGUAGUUUAUUGAUUAAAAUCUGUAGGAGUGAUUUCCCUUGGCUGUUUUAUUAGUUAAUCAUGCGUGUAAUUGUUCCCGCCGUUUUCUGAGUUGUCAUCAGUUUUUGGUAGAAGGCAGACAUUUUUUUCAGUUGUUUAAAAUAAUAAUUUGGUUAUUAAUUCUUAAAUAGGAUUUUAGAUUUUGGAUUGAGGUUGGUGAAGUUUAAUAUUGGUUGUUUACUUUGUUUAAGUGAGUUACAAAUGAGCUGUGUGUCUAAAGUUUAUUAAAAUAAGAUAUUCAUGUAUAUUGUACAUGAUUUGUUUACAAUGCAUCUGAUAAUGGCAGCAUAUUUAAAGUAAUAUCUAUUUGCAGUCAUUAAUAUAAACCACUGUCAUUCUCUAUUGUGCACAUGUUUAAUUACAGUAUGUUGCAGUAACAUCACAAGAUUGAGAGGAUUUUUGUAUGGGUGUCAUUGAGUCCAAUCCACAAUUGGGCUUGAUCUACAUAUUGAUCUACAUAUUGAUCUUCAUAUUGAUCUUCAUAUUGAUAUCUUCUUGAUACUGAUUAUAUAUUGAUUGGUGCUUAAACAAGUACUUGAUGUGAAGUUGUGAAUGUGAUGUGACUUUAACCUCUUGGGUUAAAUCUACUUGAAGCUUUAUAUUAUAUAGUAAUAUACUGAGAUCAUACACUGAAUGGACAUUUCAAAUAAAAGUAUUGAACGAACUCAGCCUCGUUGAUAUUUAUUCCUUUACAUCUUUAAGGGCAUAAUUUUAACAAAGGUAACAAUUGGCGCCCAACGGUAUUUUCAGUGAUCUCAGUGUUUUUAACUUUAAGUGAAUUUCCAGUUUAUUGACUGCAGAACUUUAUUAUUUACAGUUUAAGUAACUGUGUUCAAAUUAUUUUGCAUUUAAUGCACAGUGACAUAGUUUAUUAUAAGGUUUGCAUUUUGUGCAUAGUGAUAAUACAUACUUAAUUUUUAAGUUUAGAACUUCAGUGGCAUAUACGUAUACAUUUGAAUUUGGAUUUUACGGAGCAGAUACACAUAUUCAGGACAUUACUGUGCAACUCAUCAUUUCGUUAUAUGCGUUAGACAGGAAUUUUUAUCGUUUAUUUGGAGAAUUAGUGAUAUUUCCACUAAUACGCUUGCUUGACGGAGUACCAACUGGGAGAUCUUCAUAUCCAUAACCGACAACACGAUAUAGGCUUUUCUUCGAAUCCAGGAUCGACGACACCAACGUUUACAGGAGCAGGGACAUAAACUUUUAAGUUAAACACGAAGUGAUUGUAGUGAUAGACUGACAGUGUUUUUAAGUACCAAGUUUAGUGUUUCAUAUUACAGACACUUUUUGUAUAAGUGCUGAUCCAGGGACAGUUCUUUUAAUUUCUACAUGAUUGAACAGAAAUAUGGUAAUUGUAUGGUACAUGUAACAGUCCAGUGGUCAAGUACAGAUCAACUGAUGUUAUGUUGCAGUAACAUCACAAGAUUGAGAGGAUUUUUGUAUGAGUGUCAUUGAGUCCAAUCCACAAUUGGGCUUGAUCUACAUAUUGAUCUACAUAUUGAUCUUCAUAUUGAUCUUCAUAUUGAUAUCUUCUUGAUACUGAUUAUAUAUUGAUUGGUGCUUAAACAAGUACUUGAUGUGAAGUUGUGAAUGUGAUGUGACUUUAACCUCUUGGGUUAAAUCUACUUGAAGCUUUAUAUUAUAUAGUAAUAUACUGAGAUCAUACACUGAAUGGACAU